rnacentral:tRNA from 2 species
GGUCUAAUAGUGUAGAGGUUAGCACAUGGGAUUUUGAUUCCCAUAACCCAGGUUCGAGUCCUGGUUAGACCU